AGUGAACGCUGGCGGUAGGCCUAACACAUGCAAGUCGAACGGCAGCACAGUAAGAGCUUGCUCUUACGGGUGGCGAGUGGCGGACGGGUGAGGAAUACAUCGGAAUCUACUUUUUCGUGGGGGAUAACGUAGGGAAACUUACGCUAAUACCGCAUACGACCUACGGGUGAAAGCAGGGGAUCUUCGGACCUUGUGCGAUUGAAUGAGCCGAUGUCUGAUUAGCUAGUUGGCUGGGUAAAGGCCCACCAAGGCGACGAUCCGUAUCUGGUUAGAGAGGAUGUUCAGCCACUCUGGAACUGAGACACGGUCCAUACUCCUACGGGAGGCAGCAGUGGGGAAUAUUGCACAAUGCGCGCAAGCCUGAUCCAGCCAUACCGCGUGGGUGAAGAAGGCCUUCGGGUUGUAAAGCCCUUUUGUUGGGAAAGAAAAGCAGCAGGUUAAUACCCCGCUGUUCUGACGGUACCCGAAGAGUAAGCACCGGCUAACUUCGUG
rnacentral:rRNA from 1 species